AUGCGCAGGAUACUUCCCUAUAUAAACCAGCGAGUAAAGGGAAUGCGGUCUUUUACAUUCGGGUGGGCAGAGAGGAAGUGGAGCGUGCCAAGGAUAGGGGCACAGGGUGUGCUUGUCACUUGCUCUUCUGCAAUCAAGUGAAUGUGCCCUACUCGGUCAUGGAGCACCUCUGUGCCUGCGGCAGGGUUUGCCAGAGCUUGUGUGGGUGACUGAACCCUGACUGGAGAAACUGUAUAACUAAGGGAGAUGGCAAUCUCGUGAUUCUCGGCUGAAGACUACAUUAUGCCUGUGUGGAGUCGGCAUACACGUCUAUGGUUAAGUAACAGCAAUUACCUGGACAUGGGAGUGGUGCCACAGAAACAAUACAAGGGAUGCAAUAUGGCUGUACUCCUGUACAAGGCAGAAGGCUGAAGUUGGACAGUGGUGGUUACAAUUAUAAAAAUGGUUGCAAUUUGUAAAUAAAAUUUUAUAUAUUUUUUUUAAA